UACGUAGGGUGCGAGCGUUGUCCGGAAUUACUGGGCGUAAAGAGCUCGGAGGUGGUUUGUCGCGUUGUUCGUGAAAACUCACAACUCAAUUGUGGGCGUGCGGGCGAUACGGGCAGACUGGAGUACUGCAGGGGAGACUGGAAUUCCUGGUGUAGCGGUGGAAUGCGCAGAUAUCAGGAGGAACACCGGUGGCGAAGGCGGGUCUCUGGGCAACAACUGACGCUGAGGAGCGAAAGCGUGGGGAGCGAACAGG
rnacentral:rRNA from 1 species